rnacentral:rRNA from 1 species
GACGAACGCUGGCGGCGUGCCUAAUACAUGCAAGUAGAACGCUGAAGGAGGAGCUUGCUUCUCUGGAUGAGUUGCGAACGGGUGAGUAACGCGUAGGUAACCUGCCUGGUAGCGGGGGAUAACUAUUGGAAACGAUAGCUAAUACCGCAUAAGAGUAGAUAUUGCAUGACAUUUGCUUAAAAGGUGCAAUUGCAUCACUACCAGAUGGACCUGCGUUGUAUUAGCUAGUUGGUGGGGUAACGGCUUACCAAGGCGACGAUACAUAGCCGACCUGAGAGGGUGAUCGGCCACACUGGGACUGAGACACGGCCCAGACUCCUACGGGAGGCAGCAGUAGGGAAUCUUCGGCAAUGGACGGAAGUCUGACCGAGCAACGCCGCGUGAGUGAAGAAGGUUUUCGGAUCGUAAAGCUCUGUUGUAAGAGAAGAACGAGUGUGAGAGUGGAAAGUUCACACUGUGACGGUAUCUUACCAGAAAGGGACGGCUAACUACGUG